GCGGUCUGGAAAGGCCCGCCAAAGACGGUAACAGCCCGGUAGUUGAAAUGGCUUUCCCUCCAGAGUGGAUCCUGAGUACGGCGGAACACGUGAAAUUCCGUCGGAAUCCGGGAGGACCAUCUCCCAAGGCUAAAUACUCCCUAGUGACCGAUAGUGAACCAGUACCGUGAGGGAAAGGUGAAAAGCACCCCGGAAGGGGAGUGAAACAGUUCCUGAAACCGUGUGCCUACAAGUAGUUAGAGCCCGUUAAUGGGUGAUAGCGUGCCUUUUGUAGAAUGAACCGGCGAGUUACGAUUUGUUGCAAGGUUAAGCGGAAAAAGCGGAGCCGUAGCGAAAGCGAGUCUGAAUAGGGCGCAUAAGUAACAGGUCGUAGACCCGAAACCAGGUGAUCUACCCAUGUCCAGGAUGAAGGUAAGGUAAUACUUACUGGAGGUCCGAACCCACGCACGUUGAAAAGUGCGGGGAUGAGGUGUGGGUAGCGGAGAAAUUCCAAUCGAACUUGGAGAUAGCUGGUUCUCUCCGAAAUAGCUUUAGGGCUAGCCUCGAGGUAAAGAGUCAUGGAGGUAGAGCACUGUUUGGACUAGGGGCCCUUCUCGGGUUACCGAAUUCAGAUAAACUCCGAAUGCCAUGUACUUAUACUCGGGAGUCAGACUGCGAGUGAUAAGAUCCGUAGUCGAAAGGGAAACAGCCCAGACCACCAGUUAAGGUCCCCAAAUAUAUGUUAAGUGGAAAAGGAUGUGGGGUUGCUUAGACAACCAGGAUGUUGGCUUAGAAGCAGCCACCAUUGAAAGAGUGCGUAA
rnacentral:rRNA from 1 species